CCUACGGGUGGCAGCAGUCGAGAAUUUUUCACAAUGGGGGCAACCCUGAUGGAGCGACGCCGCGUGGAGGAUGAAGGUCUUCGGAUUGUAAACUCCUGUCAUUGGUGAACUAGUAGCCGAAGAGGAAGGGACGGCUAACUCUGUGCCAGCAGCCGCGGUAAUACAGAGGUCCCGAGCGUUGUUCGGAUUUAUUGGGCGUAAAGGGUGCGUAGGCGGCGGAGUAAGUUGGGUGUGAAAUCCCGGGGCUUAACCUCGGAAUGGCAUUCAAUACUGCUUCGCUAGAGUACUGGAGAGGAGGCUGGAAUUUACGGUGUAGCAGUGAAAUGCGUAGAUAUCGUAAGGAAGGCCGGUGGCGAAAGCGAGCCUCUGGACAGUACUGACGCUGAUGCACGAAGGCCAGGGGAGCAAACGGGAUUAGAUACCCUUGUAGUC
rnacentral:rRNA from 1 species